UUUGUUGCAUAUAACUGGGCAACGGUAGAUUUCAAUUCGCUGCGAUGACUGUCGUAUUAUAAGCUAGAGAAAGAUACAUACUCACACUUGCGUAAAUCGUAUAUUUUACCUUAUCAAACCUUAGGCUUUGCUUAGGAACGAUCAGCAACUUUAACAUACAAACACCAACUACCAACGUUGUUAUUGAUGUACCUCAUGUACCUUCAACGGAAAAGCAAUUCAUAGGACAACUAAUGACCUACCAACCGGAGCUUUUGGUUCGUUAUCAUUUAUUUAAACCCAAUUUCAGACAUUCUGAGUAAAUUACAAAAUUUUAACAUUCUAUAUAAUCUGAAGAAUAGUUUCUUCCUAAGUUAUGCCUGUUCAACUAUGUUUGAUGAUGUUUGUAACACAUACAAUUUCUUCUGCUCAUUGGAUGUAUAUUUUCAUUUUACGAUAAUAUUUUACGAAGCAAUAAAGAGAAAGACCCUGUUGAUACUUGCGCCACCAGACGUCAAAUGACACACACACACUCAAAGCUGAAGGUCGUUCUAUAAAACGGCAGGAUUAAACUUUGGUUACAAUGUUACUGAGAGUGAUCGAAAUCUCUUUCCAAGUGGUGAAAGAUGCAAAGAAAGUUUUCAUAUUUUUGCUCUAGUAGGAAGUAUCGCUCCUUGGAAUACGUUUAAAGUGAUGGAAUAGCAAACAACCAGCAAACGGUUUGCAAGGUGAAAGAUGCGAGACAUGCGCGUUUGUUGGCUACAGUCCAACUAACUCUGACCUUCAAAGGGCACAGUUGAAGAAAUGUUAUUUUAUGAAACAAUUAAUAAAGCCAGCAUGUAAAAUAAUAGAAGA